GCAGUCGACGAGCUUCCGUUGAUGACGUGCUUGCACUGAUUUCAACAAUGAAGCGAGUGGCGAACUGGUGAGUAACACGUGGGGAAUCUGCCCAGAAGCAGGGGAUAACACUUGGAAACAGGUGCUAAUACCGUAUAACAACAAAAUCCGCAUGGAUUUUGUUUGAAAGGUGGCUUCGGCUAUCACUUCUGGAUGAUCCCGCGGCGUAUUAGUUAGUUGGUGAGGUAAAGGCCCACCAAGACGAUGAUACGUAGCCGACCUGAGAGGGUAAUCGGCCACAUUGGGACUGAGACACGGCCCAAACUCCUACGGGAGGCAGCAGUAGGGAAUCUUCCACAAUGGACGAAAGUCUGAUGGAGCAAUGCCGCGUGAGUGAAGAAGGGUUUCGGCUCGUAAAACUCUGUUGUUAAAGAAGAACACCUUUGAGAGUAACUGUUCAAGGGUUGACGGUAUUUAACCAGAAAGCCACGGCUAACUACGUGCCAGCAGCCGCGGUAAUACGUAGGUGGCAAGCGUUGUCCGGAUUUAUUGGGCGUAAAGCGAGCGCAGGCGGUUUUUUAAGUCUGAUGUGAAAGCCUUCGGCUUAACCGGAGAAGUGCAUCGGACACUGGGAGACUUGAGUGCAGAAGAGGACAGUGGAACUCCAUGUGUAGCGGUGGAAUGCGUAGAUAUAUGGAAGAACACCAGUGGCGAAAGCGGCUGUCUAGUCUGUAACUGACGCUGAGGCUCGAAAGCAUGGGGUAGCGAACAGGAUUAGAUACCCUGGUAGUCCAUGCCGUAACGAUGAGUGCUAAGUGUUGGAGGUUUCCGCCCUUCAGUGCUGCAGCUAACGC
rnacentral:rRNA from 2 species